rnacentral:rRNA from 1 species
ACGGCGAGUGAAGCGGCAACAGCUCAAAUUUGAAAUCUGGCUCUUUCAGAGUCCGAGUUGUAAUUUGCAGAGGGCGCUUUGGCAUUGGCAGCGGUCCAAGUUCUUUGGAACAGGACGUCACAGAGGGUGAGAAUCCCGUACGUGGUCGCUAGCCUUUGCCGUGUAAAGCCCCUUCGACGAGUCGAGUUGUUUGGGAAUGCAGCUCUAAAUGGGAGGUAAAUUUCUUCUAAAGCUAAAUACUGGCCAGAGACCGAUAGCGCACAAGUAGAGUGAUCGAAAGAUGAAAAGCACUUUGGAAAGAGAGUCAAACAGCACGUGAAAUUGUUGAAAGGGAAGCGCUUGCAGCCAGACUUGCCUGUAGUUGCUUAUCUGGACUUUUGUCCAGUGCACUCUUCUGCGGGCAGGCCAGCAUCAGUUUGGGCGGUUGGAUAAAGGUCUCUGUCAUGUACCUCUCUUCGGGGAGGCCUUAUAGGGGAGACGACAUGCAACCAGCCUGGACUGAGGUCCGCGCAUUUGCUAGGAUGCUGGCGUAAUGGCUGUAAGCGGCCCGUCUUGAAACACGGACCAAGGAGUCUAACAUCUAUGCGAGUGUUUGGGUGUCAAGCCCAGACGCGUAAUGAAAGUGAACGGAGGUGGGAACCCUUUGGGUGCACCAUCGACCGAUCCUGAUGUCUUCGGAAGGAUUUGAGUAAGAGCAUGGCUGUUGGGACCCGAAAGAUGGUGAACUAUGCUUGAAUAGGGUGAAGCCAGAGGAAACUCUGGUGGAGGCUCGCAGCGGUUCUGACGUGCAAAUCGAUCGUCAAAUUUGGGCAUAGGGGCGAAAGACUAAUCGAACUAUCUAGUAGCUGGUUC